CCCUUAGAUGUUCUGGGCCGCACGCGCGCUACACUGAUGCAUUCAACGAGUCUACAACCUGGUCUGAUAGGGCUGGGUAAUCUUUUGAAUGUGCAUCGUGAUUGGGAUAGAUGAUUGCAAUUCUUCAUCUUCAACGAGGAAUGCCUAGUAAACGCAAGUCAUCAGCUUGCAUUGAUUACGUCCCUGCCCUUUGUACACACCGCCCGUCGCUCCUACCGAUUGAAUGUUCCGAUGAAUUAUUUGGAGUAGCUCUGGAAGUUGCAGAACUUCCUAUGUCACGAAAUUUUGUAAACCUUAUCGUUUAGAGGAAGGAAAAGUCGUAACA
rnacentral:rRNA from 1 species